AUGACCGUAACUUGUAGUUGGUUGCAUAUGUUACUCACUGUAAUAAAAAUAGAAAAGGACCUCCAUACUCCCUCAAAUCGCUCAUUCGAAACCGCAAAACACUUUUCACCCACACAAGCAGCUUCACCCUCUCACCAGACAAAGCUCUCGCCGUCUACAUCCAAUCACCCGGCUCACUAUUUGUUUUCUGCUCUGCCAUCACCAUCGCAUGUCCCUCCGCCAUACUGUCUCUCCCAUGGCUGGAGUCUAGUUCCGGAAGCGUACUACUGCAAUUGA